UUUCCAUAUAUUCUUGCCUCUCCAACAUAUUUCUAUUCCACCAUACACCUUAGUACCUUUCCAUGAUACUACCCCAUUCAAAACAUUUUAAUCCAUCCAUGGUGCCACUGUGUUGCCAGGAUAUCACUGCAGUAGCAGAACUUCACUGCUUUUCCUGUAUCCCUCUACAUCACCCCAUUAUAUUGCUCUUCUAGAAUGCCACUUCUAUCCCACCCUCUCUUCCUCCUCCCCCCCACAUUUUUGUCUUUCCCAGGUUGCCACUAAAAUGACACAAUAUCACUGCACCAUUAGCACCUUCAACAUUUCAAUACACCACCAGUAUCAAGAAGUCCUCCUGCACUCCUCUGCAACAAAAUAUAUAUCUACACCUUAAGCCUUUUAUUGCACUGCCAGUAUCUCACUGUAUUCCUGGCAUUUUACUGGAUUUGUCUAAUCUUUUUCAUUCCUUAAUUACUUCACUGCCAGACUAGAAUUACACUGCAUCCCAAACAUACAAUUCCACAGUACCCCCCGCAGGUCACUGCACUGACAUAGCUCCACUGUACCUCCACUUCACUGGUACAAUAUCACUGCAUCUCCAGCAGUUCACUGCACUUGCCAAAUCUCUUUGCAUCCCCAGCAUGUCAAUGCACUUGCACAAUCCAAUUGCAUAUAAAGCAGAUAACUGCACUGUCACAACCUCACUGGAUUUCAUUGCACUGGCAAUAUCUAAUUAUACUGCUGCAAUCUUACUGCAUCUUGGACACUUCACUGAGCUGGCAAAACCUUGCUGCAAUCCAGAAGCUGGCUGUUGUGGCACAAUUACUGUUCCCCCCCAUCUCACUGCACUGGCACAAUCUCCCUGCAUCCCCACUAUGUCACUGCACUCACAAAAUCUUACUGCACCUCAAUAUGUCAUUACACUUGUUCAAUCUAAUUGCAUCAUCACCACCUCAGAACACUGGCACAAUCUCACUGCAUUCUCAGUACCUGACUGCACUGGCACAGUCUAGCUGUAUCCUUAGUAUAUUCCUGUUCUGGCACAAUCUCACUGGCCUACUCUUCACCUGUGUUCCCCCAAAUUCGUACAGCACUUUUGUCAUAUCCCUGAAUCACUGCACUUUUAAAACAUAUGAGUAAUGUCAUAAUCCUGCUUCCCAUGUAGCAUUUCCCACGCCUCCACUUGUCCAGAUCUUGCAUUUUUCCUUCUGAUGCUAUUUGGAGCACACAUCUUGCCUUGGUGCCUCCUGUAAGCAUCCCUACUCCUUCCAUAUAGGUUGCAGACCUACUUGGCAUGUGCUCUUUAUCCUCUUGUAUCCACAUCUGUCCAUAUUGCACGAUAUGAGAUUACAAGUCACAUCUCCUAUGAUUCUUUUACAACUGCUUAUCUGGAAUGUUUCCUCUUCAUCUCCAUUUACCACAAAAGAAAACGCUCAGAUGUCCUUGGUGUUUCCUCUCACUCCAGGCCACAAAGUCAGUGAAAGGAGGAAAGGGAUCUGAAUCCUGAAGCCAGAUGCCCAUUUAUUGGCUACAGUGGCAUCUCCGGUGCUGUCAAGUUUUAGGUUGAUGGAAGUUCGCAUCGGUUCGCUAUCUAGUGACUUUCUUCCAAUCUCCUGGAGUUAAAUGGGAUCUCCUAAGUUAUUCCUGUGCCACUAAGAAGGGGGGACUAAAAGGCGUGAAUAAAUGGCCAAACAGAUCCUGCAGUGCCCGCACAAUAGAUAUCAAAGCAUUGUGGAUAAUGAAUGGAGCCCACUCUUUGGGUUGCUGCACACGUCUGCACCAGCCUGGUAGGAUCGGGGGAGCGCAAGUGAAUCCCAUACACCUAUUUUUGGAGCUAUGAGUAAAUAAGUGUAAGAAAUCUAAUCGUCCCAUCCAAUCUAAAAGACUUUUUUUUUGGUAACUCGGCUACCCCUCCUUUUGUCCUGCGAGUGAUCGCUUCAAGGCCAUCCAACAGACUGGCUCCUCUCGGAUUCUGCUAAAUCUUCCAAAUACCUUUUGAUAACCCAGCAACUUUAUCCUCUUUCACCUUCCAGGUCACAGAAGGUCCGAGAACUAUACAGCAGCUAGAAAACAGUGCAGGAACUUAAUUACCAUAUGAAAGGCGUGACCUGUGGCCAGUCUGAGUGUUGAUGAGGUCAAAAUCUACUCGGCUGAAAAAAAACUGCUUCGGUUUUCAUUCUGCACCUGAUCUAUGUGGAAAAGAAUUUAAGACAGAAUAAUAAUCGGAAAACAUUUUAAAUUCAAUGACAAAGAGAAGAACAUUACAGAAAAAUCUGCUGCCAUCACAAGAAUCCCAUAAAUGCCUGCCAAGAAACAGUAAGCAAGGAUUAACAAAAAUGACAUUAAGAAGAGGCCAAAGAGUGUCAUUAACAAAAAGAAAAUAAGAAGAGGCCAAAGAGAAUCUUUUGAUAGAAUUAUGCCAAAUUUAGAUAAUAUAGCUGAAAAUUGCUGCCUGCCUGGGCACUGGCCAAAGGGUUAUUAUGACCACUUAGGUAUUAUGGGUGAUCACUUUGGACUUCAUAGGCAAGCAGACUGGACCUGACAUAUAUGAACACAGGCCAAGGGAGCUGAACUUUUUUCACAUUGAUGGCCCUUUUGUUAAGCCACCAAAAAGAGUGAACAACUACGUGGGACCUGGAUUUCAUAUAAAGCAGUAACCUCGCUACUGGAUCAGGAAAGCAAGCAACAUGGUAUUGGGAGUUGUAGAGAAUAAAAUAUAUAAAGCUAUGACAGGAUUUCUUUAAGUGGCAGCUAAAGUAUAGAGAGCAUUAACUGGAGGGGUUUCUGAGACUGAGGGCCAUUUAUUAGGGGCUUUAAAAUGGUUACAUAGAACAACAUAAUAUUAUAUUAUUAAAAUAAGGGGUUAGUAAAGUUAUAGUAUUUGGAAGUAUGUAGAAAGAAGACCAUAGAGACAUAUGAUUAAAUGGAGCAAUUGGGGCAAUUAUAGAGACAGAGAAUAUAUGUUACAGUGAAAUAGGAGUUAUACAGUGAGGUUAUGUCAGUGUUUCUUAACCUUUUUAUUUCCUGGCACCCUUAAUAUUUUUGGGAAUCUGUCUGGCGACCCACAUAUUGGUCAAGGGCAAUGCACAUGGGAUGUUUUCUCACCCAUUGUAAAUAGGUGCUCGAAAAUGCCCCAUUAUGCUUUUUUCCACAAUUAAGUUAUAGGAAAGUUUUAUAUAUGUUGCAUUUUGUAAUUUUGGAUAUUUUCCCAGGGCAGGGACCACAAAAUUCUCCAUUUAACAUUGCCUUAAGAAUCCAUUUUUUACCUUAGCUUUUAAGGUAGCUUUUACUGUAUUUAAAAUAAUAAUGGAAAAGCAGGCCCAUUUUUGUGUCCUGACCAAAAAAUACUUGGGUUAUGUGGAGCAAUAAGAAAAGUUAUGCAAAAUAAGGUUAUAUUGAGCUAUAGUAGCAAGAAGAUAGUGAGGUUAUGUGGGCAACAGGAAACAGAGUACAGAGAGCAGUGAUAUUGUACAAUAGAAGUUAUAUAUAGAGAGAGAUAUAUAGAGAUAUAUAGCAAUCAGAGAUAUUAAUGGGAUGAUAUGUAUUUAUAAUUAUGUCUGACGUAUAUGUCUGGUUUUAUUAAACCAAGGGAAAUUAUUUCAUUAGAGCAGGAAGUUCUAGGAUUACAAUUUUUUAAGCAUUAUAAAAGUUGCAGAAACAGUUGUAUAAGAAUUGUUCCCUAAAGACAUAUGGCAGUCAGUGUAUUGAGUAUGCAGCCCCCUCAUGGAAUAACUGACUUUUCUAUGUCAUUGUUAUCGAUCACGGACCUCCUACUAAAUACUCAUUCAUCCAUAUCCAGUUCUUCUGAAAAGAACCACAGCUUACAAGUGAUUUCAGGAUUUUAAGGGGUCUGAAACAAAGGUUAAUGGUUCUAAUCUGUUAUUUACUCUUCUUGGCCCGAGCCAUUAAUUUUAAAAAUUACAGUUUAUUGUAGUCUAGGUUGUAGCAUUAAUCUACUACUGUUAUUCAGAUACUAGUUCCUACAGGUGCUAGUAUUUGUUUUCAAAACACGGGAAUUGAAACACUAAAGCAAGUGAAUGUACAAUAUGGUGUACAAGCUGUGAAGUAGCUAAAGGCUUUUGAACCCCCAUAAAUCUGUAGGAAGAGCCAUAAACCCAGUAGGAAUGUGUGUAAACACAAGCUAAACAUCAGCAGGGAAGCAUCUGCUCUAAUGACAGGGGUAGAGCUGUAUAGUGUAUUCAUGAAACUAAUUGUCAUUGUUUUACAGACAUGCCCCAGUUCUGAUUAACUUCCUAAAAUAACAGGCUAAAUUGAAAUAAUCCAAACCAAGUAACUAACAUCUUGAGCUUUUGUUUUCUUACAAUAGGUAACCAAAGAAAUCAGCUCCUUGGGAUAGAGGGAGCAAAGGCAAGUGGGAAGGAAGAUCAUCUUACACACGUGUUUUUUAACAAAUGAGGAAGUUAUUUUUAUAACCAUUGUGAAAUGCCCCGUGAAUCAUAAUAUGGGCCUUGCAGCUAUCAGUCUUUAUAGAAAACAAAAUGAAGCUAUAGUGGUCCUAUAAAGGGUAAAUGUGGGUUAUAUUCCAAUUAUUAUAGGUUUGUAAAUAGAGUGGGAGACAAAAGUUACUUUUUUAUGCAUUUUCAUAAAUGAGAGCUAUUGCUUAAGAGUGGUUGAGAAUCGAUUCCAUCAUUGCCAGUGAGCUUGUACCUCCUGCUGUGUGUACCCUCUACUGUGGCUUCAUAAGGGUACAGUGUAGUCAGUCACAGCAUAAAAUGCCACUUGACAAGGUACAAGAGGACACAGGCAUUUUUGCACCCUAACACACCUGCAGACAAAAUAACACCUCCAAGUUACAUUUGGAUGGCACAAAAAUAAUAUGGAUUUCCUGUAUCUAUUCAUAUACGGGUUUAGGAACAGCACAGCUCAGGCUAGAAUUGCCCAUACAAUAUGCCUUGACCCCAUAAAGGACUGCCUUGGUGCCUUACAUUAGUGCUUUGUAGUAGUACAAAAGAUAGGAAUUUGGUAAAGUGAAUCUACAUCUUUUUCGUCAAAUAAAAGACACGCAAAACCUACAUAUUUGUUUUUGUUACAGUUAUUUUAAUGUAAAUAAAAGGCACAAUGAGCUAUAGACAUGUUUCCCCAGGAAGUAAGUUUGUUGGCUCAUGCCAACACAAAGGCCUAGUGACACAAGACUGUCACUGUCUGGGUCACUUUGUCAUGCUAAGCACUGUAGCCUAAUUAGACCCCUCUUUAGUCACUUAUCUUUUGUGACCCCAAGUGUUAAACACACUGGAUCAGACUGGAAUCCAAAUGGGAGUAUAAACAGAUGCUGAGGGUCUCAUUGGAACUGAUUAGUAUUCAUCAAAAUGUGAGAGCGGCCACCAGUCCCCCUCCUGCUCUAUGCAGCACUGAGGGAAUGUGGAGGGGGCAAUGUGCGUAUUUAAGGAUCUGGGAAAAUAUUGGGGCGGCGAUGGAAAUUGUUCUGGCAAGUAUGGAAUCUUUUUUUUAUGAAUAGCUUGAAACAUUAUGGCUCAUGUAUGGUUAUAAUUUUUUUAUUUAAUAAAAGCAUUUUAAACCUGCUA